AUAUCAGCUGAGUUUCUGGCACUGGCGAAAGACUACCUUUAAAAAAUUGUUUCAAACAAUUUUUGCUUGAGAAGCCAGCAAAUUUUUUGAAUUGCCGUCGUUUCAUGUAGAUAAUUUACAGCUUAUUGUAGUGACCAAGAAAAAAAAACUGCUUUCGUAGUUGGCGAGACUUUCUAGAGAUGAAUAAUUGGAACUAUGCGGGAGCUGGAUUUUGGAGUAUUUUCUUCAUCCUCGGGAUUGAAACAGGGGUGGCGUCGAACUACUUUGAUGAGCCGAACAACAUCAGCGCGGGUACCGGUGUUCGGAGUUUCAACGAGAGGUGCAGCGAGCUCUUGCUGGAUUUCUUCACGGAAUACUACUCGACUCUCCUCGAGGACCGCAGCAUCAACCACACUCUAAAAGUGAACAACUCCUCCGGGAAUAACUCCUCCAGGAACAACUCCCCCGGACCGAAUCCAACCCUGCCAACCGCGCCCGCGAGCUUAUGUCGGAGCUACUUCUCUCCUUGGACCCGCCUCUGGCAUCCAUCGCCCUCCAGUACUUGGACAGGUAAAAUAACUUCAUGACAAGGGUCACAUUGUCAUCGAGGAGUAUACAUCCUCGUAACUUCUGAAACCGCACUCCUCCAGCGAGUCGAUUAUUGAAACUGAUAGACAAAGCUAUAGACAAAGACGACAAAAGGGAUUUGGAGGGAUCCUAUUGGUGGAGGCAGGUGGUAGCAAUGGACAUAGGAGGUAUGUAAUGGACUAACUAACGGCAACCCACUAAAGACCCGACGGUUAGUCCAUCAUUUCCUUCCUUAGUCUAUAAGAAUCAACCAUGUCAACCAAUAAGAUUGCUCCGUACUCCCUAUAUCUUCUUUGUCUAUCGCUUUGUCCAUCAGUUUCAAUAAUCGCCCCGCAGUAGAAUGGGUCAGUUGCGCCGGUCACAGAAUCGUGUUGUGACUCUUAGUUCUUGUAGAUUAUCUAAAAAUAAUGAGAUUUGUCCAAACAGCGACUCAUCAGCGACAGCGUUAGCGACUUGCUCAUCUCUACGUUCGAUAUUAACUGAGAUAUCGCCCUUUGAAAAGAAGGGUUUUUGACAGGGUGACAUGAAAUGUAAGAAAGAAAUGAAAGAUUGGAAAUUUCAGUGAAAUAUUUCAUGAAAUUUCACGAGGCUGUGAAAUAUUUCAUGUUUUUCUGGGGCUAGAGUAUGCAACCCGCACUUAAACACACAAAACUAGAAGAAAGUCAAAAUGUUUACAUUUUGCGAAACAUGAGAAGGAACAAGUAUUUUUCAAUAUUCUUCAUAACUUUCUGAAAUUUCGUGAAAUAUUUCACGUGAAUAAAUUCCAAGGUUUUAUUUUUCAUGAAAUUUUGCCACCCUGUUUUGACGUCAUCCACCGCGGUAGUGACACCCUCGAUUUCUUCCACCUUACUUUCAUCAGACGGUGAGACCGAGGGGGGGGGGGGGCUGCAGACCCCCUCCGCGGCUCCCCUCUAUAUUGCCGUGCCAAGGAAAGACGCCGUGGACAUACGAGUUUCCAAAUUUCCUCCAAUAAGUUUCAUUAUGAAGAGAGUUAUGAAUUUUUCCUCUUGAACUUUUUAGAUAAUUGACAUCUUAUUACAAAGAAAAUUCUCAGAAAAAUUGAGCGGGAAAUGUUCACUAUUUUUCCUGGAAUUUCAUAUUUAAUUAAAGGAAAUUUGGCAACUACAAAGGUUCGCGUUUUUCCGUAGUACGGUAGUAUAGUUCCGCCCAUGGCCUCACACCCGACAACAUUGCUCGGACUGUUAGUGUAAGGAGUCUCUAAAAUAUAUUAGAGUCCCUUUAUAGAGAGAGUCGAGACAACGGGGCUUAUGGAUGUCACAAACGGGAAUAAAUAUUACACAAAUCGGUCGUUUUUGUGAUCUUUGGUCAACCCAUUUCCGAAUUCCUACCUCCGCUCCCUCUCUCAUUCAAUUUGUCCCGGUCCAUUCCAGUUCAUAAUCUUUGCAAUCGGUGAAAAUGUAAUCUUUUAGUCCCGUUUGUGACACUUUGAAGGCCUAAAUACGGGAACCAACCAGAAAUGGAUUCACAUUGUCUUGACUCUCAGUCAUGGAGUACUUAGAGUCGUGAUAUAAGUGGGAGAGCUGGCACCACUUUUAAGCAAUUUCCAGGCCCCGAAUUCCGAGACUCCUGUGCGGCGCCGGGUCACUUUUUCGAUAAAUAUCGAUUGUUUGCGAUAUACGGGGACCCGGCCAUGGAAUUACUACCAGAGGCGGAUCUAGCAAUGUGGCAACAUCGGAAUACCUCCAUUUAAACCUAUGCUAAAUAAUCGAUUCUUGUCGGAGCACCUGGCCCCUCCAAAAAUCGAUAAAUUUCCACAGGUUUAAAUGGAGAAAAGACAAUGUUGCCAAUUUGCUGGAUCCACCUCUGAUUACUACGUAUUUCACACCGCCAUUUUGGAUCGAAAAUGUAUCGAAAAAGCGACCCGCACUCGGCGCACACCGGGCUCGGAACUCGUCGAGCAGAACAUGGCACCAGCUCUUUCAUUUACAUUACGACUCUAUGUACUCUAUGCUCCCAGUAUAAAGGGACUCUAAAAUGGACAGCGUUAAACAGAAAGGAACCAAGCCACAUCAGCUAUUGCCACAUUUGACAGGGGAAUUUGAUUUUUUACGAGAAAACGUUUGUGCGAAUUCCUUUGAAAAUUUUAAGGGAUUUGCUUUGUAUUAUGGAGAGAAUUCAUAAAAAUUUGCACAAAAUCCGCACAACCGUUUUCAUUUUAAAAAUUAAAUUGCCCGAUUAAAUUUGGCAAUAGCUGAUGUGGCUUGGCUCCUUUCUGUUUAACGCGGUCC
rnacentral:lncRNA from 1 species